rnacentral:rRNA from 1 species
GAUGAACGCUAGCGGCAGGCUUAAUACAUGCAAGUCGUACGGGAUCCGAGGUAGCAAUACUUUGGUGAGAGUGGCGCACGGGUGCGUAACACGUAUGCAACCUACCUUUAACCGGGACACAACCUUGAGAAAUUGAGGCUAAUAUCCCAUAACACUGCGAGAUGGCAUCAUUUUGCAGUUAAAACUCCGGUGGUUAUUGAUGGGCAUGCGCGACAUUAGCUAGUUGGUGAGGUAACGGCCCACCAAGGCUACGAUGUCUAGGGGUUCUGAGAGGAUUAUCCCCCACACUGGUACUGAGACACGGACCAGACUCCUACGGGAGGCAGCAGUAAGGAAUAUUGGUCAAUGGGCGCAAGCCUGAACCAGCCAUGCCGCGUGAAGGAUGACGGCCCUAUGGGUUGUAAACUUCUUUUGUACGGGAAAAAACCACCGGUCGUGUAUCGGUGCUGAUGGUACCGUAAGAAUAAGCAUCGGCUAACUCCGUGCCAGCAGCCGCGGUAAUACGGAGGAUGCAAGCGUUAUCCGGAUUCAUUGGGUUUAAAGGGUGCGCAGGCGGAGUGAUAAGUCAGUGGUGAAAGCCUACAGCUUAACUGUAGAACUGCCAUUGAUACUGUCAUUCUUGAGUAUUGUUGAGGUAGGCGGAAUGUGUCAUGUAGCGGUGAAAUGCUUAGAUAUGACACAGAACACCGAUCGCGAAGGCAGCUUACCAAGCAAUAACUGACGCUCAUGCACGAAAGCGUGGGGAUCAAACAGGAUUAGAUACCCUGGUAGUCCACGCCGUAAACGAUGAUCACUCGAUGUUGGCGAUACACAGUCAGCGUCUUAGGGAAACUAUUAAGUGAUCCACCUGGGGAGUACGGUCGCAAGAUUG